GUGGCUGACUGAGCAGCAGCACGGACGUGUAUAGGAGGAGCUCCGACUGACUAUCGGCAUAUUAGCCAAUAUAGACUGAAAAGCUCCACGGACACCCUGCUUUAACUUACCAGCUGACAGCAUGGGACGCAAGCACUGGAGAUAUUAAAUUCCAGAGACCCCAGAACUGCCUGAUAUUCUUUUGAGCAGCCCGUUUCAACCAGUGUGUCAAAGAUGGCGUCUGCAGCGUGAGCGGAGGUUGAAGCCUCAGAGGACACGUGUGAGGAGACUUAGGGGCCCAUUUCUCUCCAGGCGGCUAAAGUAUAUCAGGAGUUUGACUCAGAUGAUGACUCUUCCCCGGCAAUGAAGGGGGACAUAAAGAGUCUCCUACAAUAUGUGAGGAAGGUAUGGAAAGCCGACCUCCUAGAGGCCCAAACCGAAAUGGAGAUUGAUUCAGUGGAAACUAAAGAGAAAGUCAGAGAGAGAAAGAUGCAGAAUACCCAGAACCAAGUGGACAAUCUCCACCAACAAAUUUAGACACUCACUAGAUCGGUCACAGCACUGGAAAAAAGACACAGGAGAUGCAAUAUACAACUAAAAGGUAACCCAGAACAGAUAUGAAGGGAGGCACUGCUGCCAUUUACCCAGAGACUACUGGCAUCUCUAAGCCUAAAGGGUGGUGCAGACCGCAAUAUGUUCACAUCCGCCUUCGAUAUCGCGGCUCUCGUCACUAUCAUGAACCGAUUUAGGGAGCUCGGCAACAUACACUUUGAAGGCUGCACAGUGGCGAUCUAUGGGGAUCUCCAAUUCACAGUACUAUCGGAACAGAUACAACUAGCCUUGAUAGCCGCACGACUGCGGAACGCUGCAAUCAAGUACCGAUGGGGAGCGGAUGGCUCACUGAUCGUGACACAAGGCAACACAGCACUCACCCUGACCUCGCAUGGCGACUCUAACAAUUUUUUUCUGCGACUGCACAUGGUUGCGAUCCAACCUGAAAGAACACCUACCUCGGGAACCCCAACCUGAAACACAUGCAAUAAUAUAGAAUGCAAGGUACAGUCCCAUUACCCAAAAUACCUGUUUUAGUCAAAUUACUAAAAUAUGAAGCCUAGAUUAGCUAAUGACACAUGCUAGGUAAUGACACAUUCCAUAUGAGCCAAGAUACGUUCUCAGUAGUGUCCCCGAGUUAUAACCUAUAACAUAAGAUAACGCUAAGACCUAGGGGCCACUAGGUACCAACCAUGCAAACACCAUGCAUUAACCAAGCCAUAGGCAAU